UACAUUAGUGCUUGCGCACGACAGUAGUUUUCAUUACAUUCGAGUGUAUGUGUAAAAAAUCCUCUGUCAGCCGAAGCCAACAAGAGGCCAAAGGUGCACAGGGUAAUGGAUGAAAGUCACCAACGUGCACUUGCUCUGGAGAGCCAGCACCGAAGGCAACGAUUCACAAUCACUAAUGAUCCUUCCGCAGGUUCACCUACGGAAA
rnacentral:misc_RNA from 1 species